UAGGGAAUCUUCGGCAAUGGGGGCAACCCUGACCGAGCAACGCCGCGUGAGUGAAGAAGGUUUUUGGAUCGUAAAGCUCUGUUGUAAGUCAAGAACGAGUGUGAGAGUGGAAAGUUCACACUGUGACGGUAGCUUACCAGAAAGGGACGGCUAACUACGUGCCAGCAGCCGCGGUAAUACGUAGGUCCCGAGCGUUGUCCGGAUUUAUUGGGCGUAAAGCGAGCGCAGGCGGUUUGAUAAGUCUGAAGUUAAAGGCUGUGGCUCAACCAUAGUUCGCUUUGGAAACUGUCAAACUUGAGUGCAGAAGGGGAGAGUGGAAUUCCAUGUGUAGCGGUGAAAUGCGUAGAUAUAUGGAGGAACACCGGUGGCGAAAGCGGCUCUCUGGUCUGUAACUGACGCUGAGGCUCGAAAGCGUGGGGAGCGAACAGGAUUAGAUACCCUGGUAGUCCACGCCGUAAACGAUGAGUGCUAGGUGUUGGAUCCUUUCCGGGAUUCAGUGCCGUAGCUAACGCAUUAAGCACUCCGCCUGGGGAGUACGACCGCAAGGUUG
rnacentral:rRNA from 1 species